AUAUGCUGUACAUAUAUGUGUAUAUAGAAGUCGGCUAUGCCCGCCGCCUACAAUUUAACCGAGCUGAUGAAAAACGAAUCUCACCGCAUCACAUACAUACAUACACCAAUACCCUGGCAACUCGGGCACUCUUUUUUCGCACAUAUUCACAGGUUCUACGUCUUGCGUAGGAUUUUUUUUGAUCGAUCCCUUAUGGAAUGAUGCGUAAAAAGCAUAUACCUGCACACAUUCGCACCAAUAUUUCAUGUAUUUAGUGGCCCAACUAAAUAUUACUUACAUUCUCGAUUAACUUGAAACGACGACGAACACUACCAACGACCGAAUGAAAGCGACGGCACUGUAUCUGUGCUGCUAUGAUGUGAUUCUGUCAUAGUGUGCGGAGAGGCACACAUACACAGGCGGCGCAUGCCCGCCACAAGUGAGCGUAUUGCAGCGUUGCCAACCUGACGGUGGCAGUAAUGCUGCCAGGUGUGCUCUGCUUUGCGUCAGCCGAUGUUAAUAUUUAAACUUUAAGCAUACCAGCCCAGCUUAACUGGGUGUGUAUGGGCAUGGAACACAAUAAAAUAAAUAUAUAAAUUAAAAAGUUGAUGCCAUGACGCAUUAACAUCGUCCAUCACUGGCGGCGUCAAUUGUGCGCAAUUUAA
rnacentral:sRNA from 15 species